AGAGUUUGAUCCUGGCUCAGGACGAACGCUGGCGGCAUGCCUAACACAUGCAAGUCGAACGGAGAUUACUUCGGUAAUCUUAGUGGCGAACGGGUGAGUAACGCGUGGGCAACCUGCCCUCUAGAUGGGGACAACAUCCCGAAAGGGGUGCUAAUACCGAAUGUGACAGCAAUCUCGCAUGAGGAUGCUGUGAAAGAUGGCCUCUAUUUAUAAGCUAUCGCUAGAGGAUGGGCCUGCGUCUGAUUAGCUAGUUGGUGGGGUAACGGCCUACCAAGGCGAUGAUCAGUAGCCGGUCUGAGAGGAUGAACGGCCACAUUGGGACUGAGACACGGCCCAGACUCCUACGGGAGGCAGCAGUGGGGAAUCUUCCGCAAUGGGCGAAAGCCUGACGGAGCAAUGCCGCGUGAGUGAUGAAGGAAUUCGUUCCGUAAAGCUCUUUUGUUUAUGACGAAUGUGCAGAUUGUGAAUAAUGAUUUGUAAUGACGGUAGUAAACGAAUAAGCCACGGCUAACUACGUGCCAGCAGCCGCGGUAAUACGUAGGUGGCGAGCGUUGUCCGGAAUUAUUGGGCGUAAAGAGCAUGUAGGCGGUUUUUUAAGUCUGGAGUGAAAAUGCGGGGCUCAACCCCGUAUGGCUCUGGAUACUGGAAGACUUGAGUGCAGGAGAGGAAAGGGGAAUUCCCAGUGUAGCGGUGAAAUGCGUAGAUAUUGGGAGGAACACCAGUGGCGAAGGCGCCUUUCUGGACUGUGUCUGACGCUGAGAUGCGAAAGCCAGGGUAGCGAACGGGAUUAGAUACCCCGGUAGUCCUGGCCGUAAACGAUGGGUACUAGGUGUAGGAGGUAUCGACCCCUUCUGUGCCGGAGUUAACGCAAUAAGUACCCCGCCUGGGGAGUACGUCCGCAAGGAUGAAACUCAAAGGAAUUGACGGGGGCCCGCACAAGCGGUGGAGUAUGUG
rnacentral:rRNA from 1 species